CCUCUGUCUGUCUCCUCUUUAAAAUGGAGCUGAGGCCCUCCUGUGCUCAUCAGUGGCUGCAGGAAUGGAUUCUUCUUUCCUUUUAAUAAGAUGGUGGUAUUUGCAUGAUGACGAUGGACCAAAGGCACAGCUGCCACAUCAUCAUGAGCCAGGCAGUGCCCUUUGCUGCUACAAAAGAUGUCACCCUCCUGAUUGAAGCUUAAGAGGAAGAAGUUAUUGGGAACCCCUGUGCUAUGCACUGUUGCCUCAGGACAAUAAAGGUUUAGUGCCCAUUUCCUAAGUGAUCAUUAUCAUUUACAUCAUGGUGUUAGAUAAAAGUAAGUAUUAUAACUAGUAUUUAUCUUUGUCUGUAGCUGCUGCUUUCCCAGACCUGAGGAAAGAUAUUUUGUGCCCAAAACCUUGUCUAACAUCACUCCCAACUAUAAAGUUGGUUUAAUAAAAGAUAUUGCCUCGCCUCACAAAUCCUGCUUCUCGUAUCAUACCCAUUCACAGAAAUCUGCCAUUCACAGGAAAAAUGUAAUCAAAUAAUUUUCAUCAGAGUUUAUCCUAGCAUGUUCCCAGGUUCAGCUCCAGUCAGAGCUCAAUGACUUUCAGGGUGCCUUGAGAAUCUCCCACAGAUUUCUACCCAUAUCCAAGAUUGGCCUAUUUGUACUACACACACUGUCUGACAAUAUGUGAUUUAAAGUAAAUCACUGGAUAAAGAAAGAUCUGCAUGACAUGGAAUCAAAAAUUAUAUUUCCUGAGACCUUAAUACAGACAAAAUCUUUGGUGUUUUUUUAUAAAAUAAUUUCUCCUCCCUUCAA